UACAGAGGCCUCGAGCGUUAGGCGGAAUCACUGGGCUUAAAGCGUGUGUAGGCGGACUUCUAAGUACCUUGUGAAAUCCCACGGCUCACCCGUGGAACUGCUCGGUAUACUGGUUGUCUUGAGCCAUCUAGGGGCGAGCGGAACAAAUGGUGGAGCGGUGAAAUGCGUAGAUAUCAUUUGGAACGCCAAUGGUGAAAACAGCUCGCUGGGGAUGUGCUGACGCUGAGACACGAAAGCCAGGGGAG
rnacentral:rRNA from 1 species